GCUGCUGUAGCUCAGUGGUAGAGCGCACCCUUGGUAAGGGUGAGGUCGAGAGUUCAAUUCUCUCCAGCAGCACCA
rnacentral:tRNA from 8 species